AAUUAUACCUGUUCACUUGUUAAGGUAAUUCCCAUUUAUUCCCAAAUGGAUCGUUUUGAAUUCCUUUCAUUGAAAAAUUAUAUUAUGUUGAUAGCUAACAAAAACUAUGGCAUAUGUAUAUAUAAAUUGAAUCCCCCUUAACUUCUAAUGUUAUGAUUUAAAGGUGACUCAAAAUUUGCUUUAAUUCUCAAAUGUGGCAUUCUAGGAUUUUUCUGAAUCCCUUUGUUAUAAUUGCUGGUUCUGCCCCCGAGUGUUGAUAUAAUGGUUUGCAUCAUGAUUCUGUUUUUCUUAUCCUACUCCUAACGAAUGUAUUGAAAAUAUAAUGAAGUAAAAAAAGUGUGCUCUUUUUAACAACUUAAUAAUUUAAAUGAGAUAGUCACAUACUACAACAUGGUGUCUUGGGAUUGAUUCUCAAGUGUCAUCCAUUUCAUCAUUCUUGGCCACUAAAAAGCAAGUCCCUGCGUGAGGGGGCACAUGUUGAGAAUAUUUUUAAGUAAAUAAAAGUGUGCUCUCUCGCAGUUUAAGCUUUGAGAUGAGAUGGUAUGGUAGAUUGUUUACCGGUAUGUAUUCAUGUAGUUGCAAGUAUUCUGUAACAGUUAACUAAGUGAUUAUAUUAAGUUUUUAGGCGACCACUUUAUAAGUUGCCCGCCUCUCUAAGAGAGAAGCAUGCUACACCUUUAGUUGAUCCCUCUUCCCAGAGAAGAGAACGAAAAUGAACCACUUAUGGUAGUCAUGGUUGAUUCCAGUAUCUUACUCGGUGAAAUAAACUCUCUAUGGUGUUGCAUUUUCUCUGGCUGCCACUCCCCUGUUCCAUCAUAGUAAAACCAUUCGAGAAGAGCAAUUGGGCUCAUAUUAUAUCUUUUCUUCAAUGCUUAUAGACGAAGUGCUUUAUUUCAGAUCAGGUUUCCACAACAAUUGCUUCCAUCCACCACCUCGGUGAAAAAAUUGUAUUUUAAAAGAUUCACUUAAAGUAUUCACACGUUUAUUGCGCUUUAUUAGAUAUUAAUUAAUCAAGUCAACUGAAGGAUAAUGUAGUAUAGCUUUUGAGGCUUGUUCAAUAUAUCUACUUUCAGUUCUACUGCAUUUGUUUUUCCUCUUUUCUUCUCUUUUCUUGUCGGAGGAUUAGGGGAGCCUAGAAUAAUGCGAAAAAGGCUUUAAAAAUCUUUAUCAUCUCUCAAUAAUGUUUGCAUACACCUCCCCCGAUUUUUCUUUGUUGAGACAUAUUUCGUUGCCAUAAUGUUGCUCUGAUCUCCACAUUGUUAUUUGAUUUUGUGUUGACUAUGUACUUAACAAAUUUGCAAUUUUUUUUUUCUAUUCUAACAUAAAGUUUGUUUCAUGAUUUUGCUAGUUUGUGUGCAUUUCAUCCAUAAUCACUCACGAAUUCAUUCUUAAGCGAAGGAAAUAACAACUUAUCUUGUCCCCUCUUUGAUCAUGCUUCUCUGCUUUGACAUUUUAACUUUUGUCUCCAUUUUUUUUUGUUCUUUCUCAUGUGCAAACACAUUUAUAUUGUUUAAAGGUUUUACCUUAAUGUGAUUCAAGUGUGUUCCCUUUGUAAAAUUGUGUAUUCACUUGAUAAAUAUAUUCUACUAUUUUAAUAAAAUUUUCAUUACAUGUACAUAGUUCAAGUCGGAAAACAAAGAGCAAUCUAACUUCUCUACUUUUAUCAUCGACCUUGAAGAUAUAAUUUAAUAAGUAAUGGUGUAUCCUCUUUAAUAGUUUAAAUUUUAGAUGAAAUGUUCGUACAAUUCAACAUGGUAUCAGAGUUCUUAGUUUUAGUCGUUUUCCACUGCUACUAAACAUUAAAUAUGAUCUGUUUCUAUCCUAUAUUUAUGAGUUUCAAUAUGCUGUUGAAAAAUAGGACAUUGCUUAAUCAAGACUAAUUCAAGUUUACUUACGUUAAUACAAUUUCGCAGGUCCUAUUGGCGUGUGUUGUACAAUUUUGGAAAUUUUAUGUAGAGUUAAAGAACUAUCCUUCUUUUUCUAUGUUCUCUCUUUUGAGACUGGCCCAACAUCGCCUUUGUAGGCUGUAUAGUUAAUUCAAGAUGUUAGUACUCAUUUAAGGUAAGUCUUUGUAUUUAUUUCUAAUUAAUGUAAAAGUUUGAACUCAUUAUCCCUCCAUUUAAUUUGAAUUGAUUAAUAUACUCACAAAAUUCUAUUGGACAGUGGCGGAUUCAAGAUUUUAGACCAGCAAGUCCAGUGUAUCAUUGUAUCACUACUCCGUUGUGACUAUAGGUAUGGAAUUUGUAUAAAUUCGUGUUUUGAAAGCUCUUGGUACAUUUAUAGUUCUAGAUUAAGACAACAUACUAAUUAGACUGUAAUUUCUAUUUAUUUGUGCUUAAUUACCAGGUGUCUUUAUUUCUUCUGUUCCACAAUUGUAAUUGGCAUCUGGCAUGGGACAAAACAAAUUCGCAGCGAAAUUUGUAAACUGAGUCAGAAAAAUGGGUGCUUGUGUAUCGACUCCAGGCCAUACGAUCAAAGUAAAGAAGAGACAUCAUCAUCGUCGUCGUCAUAGAAAAUUCCGUGGAAAUAAUUCGAUCUCUCUUGUAGAAGGAACCAGGAGAAGAAACAGUGAUGUAGGACCACAAAUUGUUGUUAGUGAGUUUGUUAGAAGAUCUGAGGUCUCCAAUUCCAAAUACCAUCUUACUCAGUUACAGUGGCAUCAUACUCAAACAGAUGCAACUGGUAUGUCAUUAUUUUGAACGUUGUCUAUUGUAUAAAGCCUGCGUUUUGAUGGAAAUAUACCUGAUUAAAAGAUAUCAAGAAUGUAAAAGGAUAUGUAUAGAUAAGAG
rnacentral:lncRNA from 1 species